GGGUCCGUAGCUCAGUUGGUUAGAGCACCUGCCUUUUAAGCAGGGUGUCGUGGGUUCGAGUCCCACCGGACCCA
rnacentral:tRNA from 1 species